GGAGACACAAUCCAAUACACAAAUCUUCUAUGGAUAGACCUGCCAAGCCUCACCCAACCCCAGGUGAGGAGUACGAAAAACUCUAGGGGCCCCUAUCCUACAACCCCGAUACUAGACCUCCAGACAUUCCUAUCAAGGGUCAUGUCCUCAGAAACCCGCAUUCUAGCCAUGUCAUGCCUAAUCACCUCUCCCCAAUAAUUCUUAGGCCUCCCUCUGCCUCGCCG
rnacentral:lncRNA from 1 species